UGGGCGCGUCCCNGCAAACACCCUAACACCGGCGCGGGUUGCGCCAAGGACCAUGAAUUAUAUCGCGUCACACGACUCUCGGGAGACCGGGGGCCGUGGUGAUGGCGUGUCGAAAACAAAACGACUCUCGGCAACGGAUAUCUCGGCUCUCGCAUCGAUGAAGAACGUAGCGAAAUGCGAUACUUGGUGUGAAUUGCAGAAUCCCGUGAACCAUCGAGUCUUUGAACGCAAGUUGCGCCCGAAGCCAUUCGGCCGAGGGCACGUCUGCCUGGGCGUCACGCAUCGCGUCGCCCCUCCCCCCUUUAAGAAAGGGUGAGGGGCGGAUUGUGGCCCCCCGUGCGCCNGUGUGCGCGGCCGGCNUAAACACGGAGCCCGUGGCCGCGAAUGCCGCGACGUUUGGUGGUUGAACUACGGCCCCUGUGGUCGUGAAGCAUCGCGUCGCGUGCCCAAGCGGACCUCGUGAGCUCGAAGGACCCUAAGGAAGGAAAAGGAGCCGUCCUCCGUUCUCAUGGAGGAGCCCUUGUCCCAACCUACCUUUGCGACCCCAGGUCAGGCGGGACUACCCGCUGAGUUUAAGCAUAUCAAUAAGCGGNGGAAAAGAAA
rnacentral:rRNA from 1 species